CACAUCGGUUUACUCAUCUCCAACGAACAGAUCCCACCCCAAUUCCAUUUCAUCUUCUUAUCCAUUUCACAGAGCCAACACCUUCAAUAACUCUUCCGUACGCUGAGCACAGCGUCACCAACAUUAACGCUACCAUUAACUCCUAUUAUCCGUCUCUCUCUAUCUUAUCUAUAUUCUUAUCAAUAAUAGUAACCCUAGAAGAUAAGAUUUAGAGAGAUAGGAGUUAGGGUUAUAUGUACAAUUGGGGGAACACCAAUUCAAUGAAGAGCAGAGGAAUUGAUGGCAGAGAAAGUCAAUGGUGUAUUGUUGGUGAGUUGGGUCUUGAUUAACUGUCAAAUUGAAGAAGGUACUUGUGAAGCUGAGAACAAACCAAGGAAAAGAAGGAGAAAAAGGAGCAGAACAUUGUUGUCAUUGUGGCUAAACCUGGUACUAAAUAAAGCUUGGAUGAAUUGAGAAGCCAAAAUAGUAGAGGAAUGCCAGCUAGCGACAAUCGGAAGAGAGACAACACAAAGCUCCUGCGAGAAGGCCGUGAAGCAUGAAGGAACAUCAAGCAAAUAAGCAGUGCAAUCCGCUUGCGCACUUUUGGCAAGCCACUUGCAAGAGCUACUCAAGCAGUGUGCUAACAAGACUAAUUGGGCUUGGAAGAAGUGAUAACACCCUGACCCAUAUCCAUACCCAAUAUCCAAACCCGUUUCCUCACCUGAACCGUCAAUUUUGCUACAACUUCCCAUCAUCCAACAUCUCACCCUCUCGAUACUUCAACAUUCGAUUAAACUUCUCAACACCAAAAGCACAUCUGUUUUCUCCUCUCCAUCGAACAGAACCUAACCCAAUUCCAUUUCAUCUUCUUCUUCAUUUCACAGAGCCAACACCUUCAAUAACUUUUUCGUACACUGAGCGCAGCGUCACCAUCAUUAACGCUACCAUUAACUCUUAAUUCUCUGUCUCACUCUAUCUUAUCUCUAGUCUUAUCAAGAACAGUAACCCUAAAAGAUAAGAUUUAGAGAGAAAGGAGUGAAGGUUAGCUGUAAAAAUUGGGAGAACACCAAUUCAAUGAAGAGAGCAGAGGAAUUGAUGGCAGAGAAAGUCAAUGGAAUAUUGUUGGUGAGUUGGGUCUUGAUUAAUUAUCGAAUUGAAGAAGGUAGCGAGAAUUUUGUGUAUAAAUAUGGUUGUCUUUGAUGAGUGCCAAAUAAUGUAUAUAUUUAUCCCUUUUUGUUGGCAUUUAACUCAUCUUUUGUGCAUUAAUUCUACAUUUUAUCCCAUAUUCUGU